GACGAACGCUGGCGGCGUGCUUAACACAUGCAAGUCGAACGGUGAAGCGCCUUCCUUUUUGGUGGGUGUGGAUGAGUGGCGAACGGGUGAGUAACACGUGAGUAACCUGCCCCCUUCUUCUGGAUAACCGCAUGAAAGUGUGGCUAAUACGGGAUAUUCUGGGUCUGUCGCAUGAUGGGUCAGGGAAAGAUAUUGUUUCGGUGGGGGAUGGGCUCGCGGCCUAUCAGCUUGUUGGUGGGGUGAUGGCCUACCAAGGCGGUGACGGGUAGCCGGCCUGAGAGGGUGGACGGUCACACUGGGACUGAGACACGGCCCAGACUCCUACGGGAGGCAGCAGUGGGGAAUAUUGCACAAUGGGCGCAAGCCUGAUGCAGCGACGCCGCGUGAGGGAUGGAGGCCUUCGGGUUGUGAACCUCUUUCGCCAGUGAAGCAGGCCUGCCUCGUUUGUGGGUGGGUUGACGGUAGCUGGAUAAGAAGCGCCGGCUAACUACGUG
rnacentral:rRNA from 1 species